GACGAACGCUGGCGGCGUGCUUAACACAUGCAAGUCGAACGGAAAGGCCCUGCUUUUGUGGGGUGCUCGAGUGGCGAACGGGUGAGUAACACGUGAGUAACCUGCCCUUGACUUUGGGAUAACUUCAGGAAACUGGGGCUAAUACCGGAUAGGAGCUCCUGCUGCAUGGUGGGGGUUGGAAAGUUUCGGCGGUUGGGGAUGGACUCGCGGCUUAUCAGCUUGUUGGUGGGGUAGUGGCUUACCAAGGCUUUGACGGGUAGCCGGCCUGAGAGGGUGACCGGACACAUUGGGAAUGAGAUACGGCCCAGACUCCUACGGGAGGCAGCAGUGGGGAAUAUUGCACAAUGGGAGGAAGCCUGAUGCAGCAACGCCGCGUGCGGGAUGACGGCCUUCGGGUUGUAAACCGCUUUCGCCUGUGACGAAGCGUGAGUGACGGUAAUGGGUAAAGAAGCACCGGCUAACUACGUG
rnacentral:rRNA from 1 species